rnacentral:rRNA from 1 species
AUUGAACGCUGGCGGCAGGCCUAACACAUGCACGUCGAACGAGUGGCGGACGGGUGAGUAAUGUCUGGGAAUCUGCCCGGUGGAGGGGGAUAACUACUGAAAACUGUAGCUUAUACCGCAUACCCACGUAUGUGCCCAGGUGGGAUUAGCUAGUAGGUGGGGUAAUGGCUCACCUAGGCGACGAUCCCUAGCUGGUCUGAGAGGAUGACCAGCCAAACUGGAACGGAGACACGGUCCAGACUCCGACGGGAGGCAGCAGUGGGGAAUAUUGCACAAUGGGCGCAAGCCUGAUGCAGCCAUGCCGCGUGGAUGAAGAAGGCCUUCGGGUUGUAAAGUACUUUCAGCGGGGAGGCGUUACCCGCAGAAGAAGCACCGGCUAACUCCGUGCCAGCAGCCGCGGUAAUUC